rnacentral:rRNA from 1 species
GACGAACGCUGGCGGCGUGCUUAACACAUGCAAGUCGAACGGAAAGGCCCUGCUUUUGUGGGGUGCUCGAGUGGCGAACGGGUGAGUAACACGUGAGUAACCUGCCCUUGACUUUGGGAUAACUUCAGGAAACUGGGGCUAAUACCGGAUAGGAGCUCCUGCUGCAUGGUGGUGGUUGGAAAGUUUCGGCGGUUGGGGAUGGACUCGCGGCUUAUCAGCUUGUUGGUGGGGUAGUGGCUUACCAAGGCUUUGACGGGUAGCCGGCCUGAGAGGGUGACCGGCCACAUUGGGACUGAGAUACGGACCAGACUCCUACGGGAGGCAGCAGUGGGGAAUAUUGCGGAGUGGGCGGAAGCCUGAGGCAGCAACGCCGCGUGCGGGAUGACGGCCUUCGGGUUGUAAACCGCUUUCGCCUGUGACGAAGCGUGAGUGACGGUAAUGGGUAAAGAAGCACCGGCUAACUACGUG